GAUGAAGAACGUAGCGAAAUGCGAUAAGUAAUGUGAAUAGCAGAAUUCAGUGAAUCAUCGAAUCUUUGAACGCACAUUGCGCCCCUUGGUAUUCCGAGGGGCAUGCCUGUUCGAGCGUCAUUAUAACCCCUCAAGCUCAGCUUGGUGUUGGGGCCUGCUGCACUGGCAGCCCUUAAAAUCAGUGGCGGCGCCAUCUGGCUCUAAGCGUAGUAAUUCUUCUCGCUAUGGAGUCCUGGUGGAUGCUUGCCAUCAACCCCCAAUUUUUCUAUGGUUGACCUCGGAUCAGGUAUGGAUACCCGCUGAACUUAAGCAUAUCAAUAAGCGGAGGA
rnacentral:misc_RNA from 1 species